rnacentral:lncRNA from 1 species
GGGGAGCAGCUGCUUUCUAAGGCUGAUUUACAUGGCUCAAGGACCGGCACCAGGACAAAACGGGAUCCACAGUACAUCAAGUCGUACGGAAGCACGGUGAACCCAAAGAGUGAUAUGCUACAGCAGGAGGGCCUCCAUUGCCCUUGCAUCAAGGGUGGCGUCAUCGAAGACUUCACGGUUCCUUGCUUUUCGGAUGACACAAAGGGCCCCCAAGGUUGUCGUGUGCCCCGAGAGGAUGCCCACGAUGGGCUCAGCAGCAUCACCCUGAUUAUAUAUGCGUGUCUCAUUUCCUAAUAGAUGGAGGCCAUUAAAGUUAUUAAUUUCUAUAAAGCUGGUAGUGUUUCUUAGCGCCAUAGGACUUCAAUUUUCUGCACCACCAGAUUUAUGAGCUUCCAUUUGGAUAUGCUCGUUCAUGUCUCUACCCGCUAAUCACUCGUCCACCACCAUCCCCCCUCACUUAGCCAUUUAUUUGGCCUGUCGAUGUAACUAGAAAGUCACAUACUCUCCCUUUUCCAUCCCAAUACAUCCGCCGCCCCAGUCCCC